GAUAAACGCUGGCGGCGUGCCUAAUACAUGCAAGUCGAGCGAACAGACGAGGAGCUUGCUCCUCUGACGUUAGCGGCGGACGGGUGAGUAACACGUGGAUAACCUACCUAUAAGACUGGGAUAACUUCGGGAAACCGGAGCUAAUACCGGAUAAUAUAUUGACCCGCAUGGUUCAAUAGUGAAAGACGGUUUUGCUGUCACUUAUCGAUGGAUCCGCGCCGCAUUAGCUAGUUGGUAAGGUAACGGCUUACCAAGGCAACGAUGCGUAGCCGACCUGGGCGGGUGAUCGGCCACACUGGAACUGAGACACGGUCCAGACUCCUACGGGAGGCAGAAGUAGGGAAUCGUCCGCAAUGGGCGAAAGCCUGACGGAGCAACGCCGCGUGAGUGAUGAAGGUCUUCGGAUCGUAAAACUCUGUUAUUAGGGAAGAACAAAUGUGUAAGUAACUAUGCACGUCUUGACGGUACCUAAUCAGAAAGCCACGGCUAACUACGUG
rnacentral:rRNA from 1 species